CCUACGGGAGGCAGCAGUAGGGAAUCUUCCACAAUGGGCGAAAGCCUGAUGGAGCAACGCCGCGUGGGUGAAGAAGGUCCUCGGAUCGUAAAACCCUGUUGUUAGAGAAGAAAGUGCGUGAGAGUAACUGUUCACGUUUCGACGUUAUCUCAUCAGAAAGCCACGGCUAACUACGUGCCAGCAGCCGCGGUAAUACGUAGGUGGCAAGCGUUAUCCGGGUUUAUUGGGCUGAAAGGGAACGGAGGCAGUUUUUUAAGUAUGAUGUGAAAGCCUUCGGCUUAAACGGAGUAGUGCAUUGGAAACUGGGAGACUUGAGUGCAGAAGAGGAGAGUGGAAGUCCAGGUGUAGCGGUGAAAUGCUUAGAUAUAUGGAAGAACACCAGUGGCGAAGGCGGCUCUCUGGUCUGUAACUGACGCUGAGGUUCGAAAGCGUGGGUAGCAAACAGGAUUAGAUACCCCUGUAGUC
rnacentral:rRNA from 1 species